rnacentral:rRNA from 1 species
UACGGAGGGUGCAAGCGUUAAUCGGAUUUAUUGGGCGUAAAGGGCGUGUAGGCGGAUUGGAAAGUUGACUGUGAAAUUUUUCGGGCUCAACCCGGAACCUGCAUUCAAAACUUCCAACCUUGAGGAUAGACGGAGAAAACGGAAUUCCACAUGUAGCGGUGAAAUGCGUAGAUAUGGGAAGGAACACCAGUGGCGAAGGCGGCACUCUGGACCAAUACUGACACUGAGGUGCGAAAGCGUGGGGAGCAAACAGGAUUAGAUACCCGCGUAGUCC